rnacentral:rRNA from 1 species
GAUGAACGCUGGCGGCGUGCUUAACACAUGCAAGUCGAACGAAGCACCUUGAUUUGAUUCUUCGGAUGAAGAUCCUGGUGACUGAGUGGCGGACGGGUGAGUAACGCGUGGGUAACCUGCCUCAUACAGGGGGAUAACAGUUAGAAAUGACUGCUAAUACCGCAUAAGACCACAGCACCGCAUGGUGCAGGGGUAAAAACUCCGGUGGUAUGAGAUGGACCCGCGUCUGAUUAGGUAGUUGGUGGGGUAACGGCCUACCAAGCCGACGAUCAGUAGCCGACCUGAGAGGGUGACCGGCCACAUUGGGACUGAGACACGGCCCAAACUCCUACGGGAGGCAGCAGUGGGGAAUAUUGCACAAUGGGGGAAACCCUGAUGCAGCGACGCCGCGUGAGCGAUGAAGUAUUUCGGUAUGUAAAGCUCUAUCAGCAGGGAAGAAAAUGACGGUACCUGACUAAGAAGCACCGGC